CAUCCGGUCGUGUCUACUUCAAUACAUUUCAGCAACUGCCAGGGUUCUUUGACAAUUAUUGUGAUGUUACACAAAUAAUUACAGUUCCCCUCUGUUCUUUCCUAUUUAGUAAGAAUGAUUCCCUGGAAUGUCGGGGGUGGCCGGGGGUGUCAGACUGCCAAGAUGUGCUGCGGAAUGUGGAACUCGGAGUAGGCAGUGAAACAGGAUCAUGUGAAGUCAUACCAUGUGAAGAAAAACACCUCCAAACACAAGACACUCAUCUGUUGGAAACAGACCAAGAGCCACUAAGGUGAUCACAGCUGGAGCAUCUCUGCUAUGGAGACAGGCUGAGAGAGCUGGGGCUCUUCAGCCUGGAGAAGAGAAGGCUCUGGGGACACCUUAUAGCGCCUUCUGUGACCUAAAGGGGCUUACAGGGAGGAUGGAGAGGGACUUCACAAAGAGUUGUAGUGAAAGGACAAAGAAGAGUGAUCUUAAGAUGAAGGAGGUGUUUGGUUAGAGGGUUUGAUUGGAGGAUUGAUUUGGAUCACCCCAGACAAGAGAAGAAGCUGACAGUGCACUUCAUUAGAAUGAACACUGUGUUACUGAAAGGCGUGUCUUGGAUGAUUACAAACUUGUUUAAACUGUAAUGGAGCUAUUACAUACAACAAUGUAUUACAUUACAAUGUACAUACAUUACAUAUUACAUACAUCACAGAUUUAAUUUUGAAAAUAACAUCAGCCUGCUCUUUCAAGUACAAUCCAGAAUGUACAGUCUUUCAGUGAAAAUUUUUUUAAAAAUCAUUAAACAGUAGUUUACACUUAGAUAUGAGAUUUAGAUAUUGAUAUUCAAAUUAUUAGCUAUAAAUAAUUAAUUUAUCUUGCUACACCAGAACAAGUCCUAAAACCAGUGAAGAACGAGUGAAUUUCAGCCUUUCUGUACAGGCUUGAUUAGAAGAUCUUGGAGGGGAUGGCACCAUCAUCAGGUCUGAUUUCUUUCUCUGAUUGGGAUUGUCAGUCCAACAGUCUUAGUUGGAAAGAUCCUCUUUUUGUUCACAAUAAUAAGGUAUGAAGUUGAAAAUGUUGAAAUACAUUUUUCAGCUUUAUUGCUGAAAAAACAGAUGAUGACUGCACUAAGGAAGUGCACCAGCAAAAACAAGAAUAACAAGUUUUUCAUGCUCCCUAUAGUCAUUGAUGUUUAAUUCUC
rnacentral:lncRNA from 1 species